CCCUGGUGGCGCGGCGGCGCUGUGUGCGCGCGGAGCAGAGCUGCUGCUGCCCUUUGAGCACCGCCGUCCCGGACUGCAGCACCUGCAGCUCUAUGCGGUUCACCGCCUCGCCCUGAAACAGCGCCACAGGCACUGCACUCCCAUUCCCACCAGUACGGACCAGUAUAAACCAGUAUACACCACUAUAAACCAGUAUGGACCAGUAUUCACCAGUACCGUCCAGUAUAGACCAGUAUACAGCAGUAUAAACCAGUAUGGACCAAUAUAAACCAGUAUACAGCAGUAUAAACCAGUAUGGACCAGUAUACACCAGUAUACACCAGUAUACACCAGUAUGAACCAGUAUGGACCAGUAUGCACCAGUAUACACCAGUAUGGACCUGUAUGCACCAGUAUACACCAGUAUACACCAGUAUGCACCAGUAUGCACCAGUAUACACCAGUAUACACCAGUAUGGACCAGUAUGCACCAGUAUACACCAGUAUACACCAGUAUAAACCAGUAUGGACCAGUAUACACCAGUAUACACCAGUUCCGACCAGUAUUCACCAGUAUACACCAGUAUACACCAGUUCCGACCAGUAUUCACCAGUAUACACCAGUAUACACCAGUAUAAACCAGUAUGGACCAGUAGGCACCAGUAUACACCAGUACCGACCAGUAUACACCAGUAUACACCAGUAUAAACCAGUAUAAACCAGUAUAAACCACUACCGACCAGUAUAAACCAGUACUGACCAGUAUAAACCAGUAUACACCAGUAUAAACCAGUACUGACCAGUAUAAACCAGUAUACACCAGUAUGAACCAGUACCGACCAGUAUAAACCAGUAUAAACCACUACCGACCACUAUACACCAGUGUUCACCAGUAUACACCAGUAAACACCGUUCCGACCAGUAUACACCAGUAUAAACCACUACCGACCAGUAUAGACCAGUAUACAGCAGUAUAAACCAGUAUGGACCAGUAUAAACCAGUAUAGACCGGUAUAAACCAGUAUGGACCAGUAUACACCAGUACUGAACACUAUACACCAGUAUAAACCAGUACCGACCAGUAUACACCAGUAUAAACCAGUAUGGACCAGUAUAAACCAGUAUACACCAGUAUAAACCAGUACUGACCAGUAUAAACCAGUAUAAACCAGUACCAACUAGUAUGGGUCAGUAUAAACCAGUAUGCACCAGUAUACACCACUAUAAACCAGUAGGGACCAGUAUAAACCAGUAUACACCAGUAUACACCAGUACUGACCAGUAGGCACCAGUAUACACCAGUACCGACCAGUAUACACCAGUAUACACCAGUAUACACCAGUAUAAACCAGUAUGGACCAAUAUACACCAGUAUACACCAGUACCGACCAGUAUACACCAGUAUACACCAGUAUACACCAGUAUAAACCAGUAUGGACCAGUAUGCACCAGUAUACACCAGUAUACACCAGUUCCGACCAGUAUACACCAGUAUACACCAGUAUACACCAGUAUACACCAGUAUAAACCAGCAUGGACCAGUAUACACCAGUAUACACCAGUUCCGACCAGUAUUCACCAGUAUACACCAGUAUACACCAGUACCGACCAGUAUACACCAGUAUACACCAGUAUACAGCAGUAUACACCAGUAUAAACCAGUAUGGACCAGUAUACACCAUAAUACACCAGUACUGACCAGUAUACACCAGUAUACACCAGUAUACACCAGUAUAAACCAGUAUGCACCAGUAUACACCAGCAUACACCAGUUCCGACCAGUAUUCACCAGUAUACACCAGUAUACACCACUAUAAACCAGUAUGGACCAGUAUACACCAGUAUACACCAGUAUAAACCACUAUGGACCAGUAUAAACCAGUAUAGACCAGUAUAAACCAGUACUGACCAGUAUACACCAGUAUGCACCAGUACAGACCAGUACGGAUCAGUAUGCACCAGUAUGGACCAGUAUGGGCCAGUACGGACCAGUAUAAACCAGUAUGGACCAGUAUGCACCAGUACGGACCAGUAUGGAACUGUACAGACCAGCAGAGACCACUCCCUCCCAGUCCCUCCCAGUAUAUCCCAGUUCCCUCCCAGUUCCAUCCCAGUAUAUCCAGUCCUUCCCACUCCCUCCCAGUCCAUCCCAGUCCCUCCCAGUAUAUCCCAGUCCCUCCCAUUCCCUCCCAUUCCCUCCCAUUCCCUCCCAGUAUAUCCCAGUCCCUCCCAGUCCCAUCC
ensembl:lncRNA